GUCUCUGUAGCUCAGUAGGAUAGAGCAACUGCCUCCUAAGCAGUAGGUCGGAGGUUCGAAUCCUCUCAGGGACG
rnacentral:tRNA from 2 species